rnacentral:rRNA from 1 species
GUGGGGAAUUUUGGACAAUGGGCGCAAGCCUGAUCCAGCAAUGCCGCGUGCAGGAAGAAGGCCUUCGGGUUGUAAACUGCUUUUGUACGGAACGAAACGGUCCUGGCUAAUAUCCGGGGCUAAUGACGGUACCGUAAGAAUAAGCACCGGCUAACUACGUGCCAGCAGCCGCGGUAAUACGUAGGGUGCGAGCGUUAAUCGGAAUUACUGGGCGUAAAGCGUGCGCAGGCGGUGCUGUAAGACAGGCGUGAAAUCCCCGGGCUCAACCUGGGAAUUGCGCUUGGGACUGCAGUGGUGGAGUGCGGCAGAGGGGGAUGGAAUUCCGCGUGUAGCAGUGAAAUGCGUAGAUAUGCGGAGGAACACCGAUGGCGAAGGCAAUCCCCUGGGCCUGCACUGACGCUCAUGCACGAAAGCGUGGGGAGCAAACAGGAUUAGAUACCCUGGUAGUCC